CUUAGUGGCGCACGGGUGCGUAACGCGUGGGAAUCUGCCCUUGGGUUCGGAAUAACAGUUAGAAAUGACUGCUAAUACCGGAUGAUGUCGUAAGACCAAAGAUUUAUCGCCCAAGGAUGAGCCCGCGUAGGAUUAGCUAGUUGGUGAGGUAAAAGCUCACCAAGGCGACGAUCCUUAGCUGGUCUGAGAGGAUGAUCAGCCACACUGGGACUGAGACACGGCCCAGACUCCUACGGGAGGCAGCAGUGGGGAAUAUUGGACAAUGGGCGAAAGCCUGAUCCAGCAAUGCCGCGUGAGUGAUGAAGGCCUUAGGGUUGUAAAGCUCUUUUACCCGGGAUGAUAAUGACAGUACCGGGAGAAUAAGCUCCGGCUAACUUCGUGCCAGCAGCCGCGGUAAUACGAGGGGAGCUAGCGUUAUUCGGAAUUACUGGGCGUAAAGCGCACGUAGGCGG
rnacentral:rRNA from 1 species